UGGCUCCUUUUCACACAGCAGGAACGGAAUAUAUGCUUGUUUACAGCAACGGUACCCAGAAAGUCAUCACGUUGGCACUCUUGUCGGCAGCUUAAAGUCAAAAGAAAGUUUAGCCUGAAUUACCUGAAUCCUCUUUUAAAGCUACACAAUGUCCUGAGAGGAUUCUUUAUGAGAAAAAUGUCCAUCACAGCUUUAAGACCUUGCUUUGGAAGGAACUAAUGAGAAAGCAGAUGGAAAGGCCUCGCACUGUUGUGGCCUCUCCCGUUGCGGAGCACAGGUUCUGGACGCACAGGCUCAGGGGCCAUGGCUCACGAGCCCAGCCGCUCCACGGCACGUGGGAUCUUCCUGGACCGGGGCACGAACCUGCGUCCCCUGCAUCAGCAGGCGGACUGUCAACCACUGUGCCAUCAGGGAAGCCCCCCAAUUUAAUUCUUUUUUUUUCUCUGCUUUUAAAUAUAUACAUGAAGGCUUCUAAAUAAAGGUCUUAAAUUUGGGGUUGAGGUUCUUCAGGUGUCAGGAAAGGGCAGAAGCUUGUGGCAUAGAUACAUGAGUUUACCUGAAGUGGCAGAAAUUCCCUUCCUUUUAAGACCACAGUGAAGAGUAAACCAAACAUUGAAUUACUGACACUAUCUAUCUAUGCCACGUAUAGAUUAUUUUAUGUUAUAUAUCUUACAUAUAACAAUGCUAACAACCACUGUCUUCUUGAAAUCCUUUCAUCUCUGGGCAUUAGACAUGGGCAAAAUUCUACUGCAGGCACCCCCUCAUGCCACACUCUCUCUAAUUCUAACUCUUUUAUUUUUUUUAAGUGCAGCAACUCCCUCUUGACAGCACUGAUGGCAUAUCCACACACUAGUCCCACAUGCAAAUCUUCUUCUAUUUCAGCUUCUUUAUGCAUAAAAUGUGAAUUAAAAACAACUGGUCUACAUGAUUGUUAGGAAUAAAUGAAACAUUCUAUAGAAAGCACUCAAGGCAAGGACACGCUCAGCAAGUGUUAGUUCCUUUCUUAGACUAUAAGUCAGCACCGCCAGUGCAGGAACUAUUUCCUGACUUCUCCAGACUCAUGACAAGCCCAUUUCUCAGAAUUCCUACAGCAACUCUAUCAUCCAUAUGCUCACAUGCUUUAGUUCAGUAUGUUUAUGUGUAUUCUAUGUAUGUUGUGUUUAAUUCUUUACAGAACCAAGCUAAAAACUCUCUCACUGUAGACAUGGACUAUGUCUUACAUCUCUCCCUUACAAAGUUCUGUACAUGGUAACCUUAAAUAUUUGAUUUUAAAAAGAAAUACAUGUUUCAAAGUUAAAUACAUGCUAUUCAUGAAGAAGACAUCUUACCCCUCGCCAGUAAGAGCACAGCAUGCCUGGACAUGCCACUGGUGAUCUUUAAUAGAAGUUAGUUUCAAAAACUGGGAGAUUUCUGCUACAGUCAUGCAUUCUUUAACAUCUUGUUUAUUAGCAAAGAUUAGCAAUCCAGCUUUCCUUAGGUCCUAUAAAAGCAAACAAAACUGUAAGGGCCAGUUCAUUUUUUUCAUACAUUUUCCAAUUUAAUUAACAGAUUAUAUAUGAUAACCUUUGUAACCUAGAAUUUCUCAACUACUUGACAUAAAAGUAUCUCAUAGCUCUUAUGAUGGAAAGUAAAUAUCAAACUGAACACAUUUAAAUAAAUCAAUCUAUACUUGUAUGGAUUUAUAUAUUUCUUACAUUCCUAGAUUACAUUUUUAUGGUCCAAAGUGCUAUAUUUAAC